rnacentral:lncRNA from 1 species
CACUGCUGGAUCUGCUGUGUGGACUUGACCCUGACCAGGGAGCUCCAAAAACCGGUGAUGAUAACAUGAUGUAAUUGAGAGUGAAAGGAAGGCAACUGAGAGGAUAAGAGAACGUAAACAAGAGGUCACCACCAACAAAGACAGACCAAAUCUGAAUAAAAGCCAUCAUAAUGUAUGUUUGGCCAAGAGAUUGUGAUGUGGUUUCCUUAACCCAAUUGAAAACAUAGCUCCUAGAUGCAUUUUAAAAAAAGGCCAUGGGAAACGGAGACUGAGAAUUUUUGCUGAAAUAAAGAAAUCCUUAGAUUUGUGCUUCAAGAAGUGUAAUCUGCCAGUGAAGCAUGAAAAGUAUCACAGAAACAGAGAAUGGAGGCAGAGAGACAAACGUAAUGGUUCUGCCUCUAUUUCAAACAGAAUAUUAAGGCCUUAAGGAUGGUGGAAAUAAAAAUGAAGAGAUGAAAAGAAAUGGCAAUAGAGAACUGGAGAUCCUUAAACACUUUUAAAGAAAGAAGGCAUGUGCCCUAUCUUAACUGUUGGAAAAGUAAGUCAUGCAUGUAUAUAGUAUAGUUGGGAGGAAGGUAAUGCCAGCAAAAAAUAAGAGUAGACUAUGAGAGAAUUCCAUUUAAUUGAUGAUAGGUGUCUAAAGUAGAACAGAAUAGAGCCACAGAAGUAGAAGGAAUUGGUGGAUGUUGAAACAUUGCUAAUGAGACUAGAAAAAGACUUUUCAGAAGAUGGGCAUAGGACUGAUAAAUGCAGCUGGCAAAAGUCUACCACAUUUGGGCUUUGUAUAGCAAGGACAUCAGAAGAACAGCAUCGUCAGAAGGGAGGGUUACGGCACUAAAGAACCUUCAUGAAGCUAGGUCUCCAGAUUAAUCUACUGUCAGAUACUCGAGUCUUCAAGGUGAGAACAAGAGUUUGAGUGGAGAGGACCUGGUGAAAUGGGAGCAAAAGACUUUGACAGGGCUGAAACCUGCAGCAUGCAAUACUGAGAGGUGAAGGCAGCUGGACUUCCUGGGAACAAACAACUCCAGAGGCACCACCAUUAAGAGCUGUUAACACUCACUGCGAAGGUCUCCGGCUUCACUCCUGAAGUCAGUGAGACCUCGAACCCACCCGAAGGAAGAAACUCCAGACAGAUCUGAACAUCUGAAGGAAUAAACUCCGGACACACCAUCUUUAAGAACUGUAACACUCACCGCGAGGGGCCGCAGCUGCGUUCUUGAAGUCAGCGAGACCAAGAGCCCACUGGAAGGAACCAAUUCCGGACACAGCCCUGGAGUGAUAGGGCAGCAGAAUAUCUACUCUGAACUAAGAGCAUAACAAAGGAGGUGGAAGAGGCGCCAGGAUAGCUCCCAUAUUUGGAGUGUUAUCAUUCAAGUACACACUGGCACCAGGGUCCCUGAGGCUUGCUCAUUGAGGUUGUCAACACUGCAAGAAGGAGUUUUUGUGGCAGAACAGACAUUGAUUGGAGAUGCUGGCAAGGCAGGGUGAAGCCAAGAGACCAGAAGAUGAUGGUCAUUGAAAAGAGAUUUUGUUACAGUUCAAGAGAAGCAAGCACAACAUGCCAUGCCUUCAUCUUCUGCUAUGAUUGUUUUCCCUGGACUGCACUUGAAACAACAAGAGAUUAGGACGCAGACAACACAGACUUAAGAGGAAAAUCUUCAUAUCCACCAUUCCUGGGAACACUUGAAUAACAAUGUUUGAAUGAGGUUGUGAAGAUACAGAGAGAAAACGUCUGUCUAUGUGGAAGGAGGUCCUCUC